UACGGGGGGGGUAAGCGUUGUUCGGAAUUACUGGGCGUAAAGGGCUCGUAGGCGGCCAACUAAGUCGGACGUGAAAUCCCUCAGCUUAACCGAGGAACUGCCUGUCAGACUGGAUUGCUUGAGGCCGGGAGAGGCGAGUGGAAUUCCCAGUGUAGCGGUGAAAUGCGUAGAUAUCAAGAGGAACACCAGUGGCGAAGGCGAGUCCCUGGACGAUACCUGACACUGAGGCACGAAAGCUAGGGGAGCAAACAGG
rnacentral:rRNA from 1 species